rnacentral:rRNA from 1 species
AGCAGCCGCGGUAAUUCCAGCUCCAAUAGCGUAUAUUAAAGUUGUUGCAGUUAAAAAGCUCGUAGUUGAAUUUCGGGAUCAAUAUUUCGGUCAUGCCGUUGGUAUGCACUGUUAUCAUUGAUUUCUCACCUUCUAAAGAACCGUAAUGCCAUUAAUUUGGUGUUACGGGGAAUUAGGACUGUUACCUUGAAAAAUUGAGUGUUUAAAGCAGGCUCACGCUUGAAUACAUUAGCAUGGAAUAAUGAAAUAGGACAUCCGAUUCUAUUUUGUUGGUUUCAGGAUCGAUGUAAUGAUUAAUAGGGAUAGUUGGGGCAUUAGUAUUCAAUUGUCAGAGGUNAAAUCCUUGGAUUUAUGAAGACUAACUAUGCGAAAGCAUUUGCCAAGGAUGUUUUCAUUAAUCAAGAACGAAAGUUAGGGGA